rnacentral:tRNA from 1 species
AGCGGUAUAGUGUAACGGUAACACACCGGACUCUGACUCCGUAUUUCUAGGUUCGAAUCCUAGUACCGCUGCCA